UGAGUAACCUGCCCUUAACUCUGGGAUAAGCCUGGGAAACUGGGUCUAAUACCGGAUAUGACUCCUCAUCGCAUGGUGGGGGGUGGAAAGCUUUAUUGUGGUUUUGGAUGGACUCGCGGCCUAUCAGCUUGUUGGUGAGGUAAUGGCUCACCAAGGCGACGACGGGUAGCCGGCUGAGAGGGUGACCGGCCACACGUGGGACUGAGACACGGCCCAGACCUCCGUACGGGGAGGCAG
rnacentral:rRNA from 1 species